GGCGCAGCUUACCAUGCAAGUCGAGCGGUAACAGGGGGUGCUUGCACCCCGCUGACGAGCGGCGGACGGGUGAGUAAUGCAUAGGAAUCUGCCCAGUAGUGGGGGAUAGCCCGGGGAAACCCGGAUUAAUACCGCAUACGUCCUUCGGGGGAAAGCAGGGGAUCUUCGGACCUUGCGCUAUUGGAUGAGCCUAUGUCGGAUUAGCUAGUUGGUGGGGUAAAGGCCUACCAAGGCGACGAUCCGUAGCUGGUCUGAGAGGAUGAUCAGCCACAUCGGGACUGAGACACGGCCCGAACUCCUACGGGAGGCAGCAGUGGGGAAUAUUGGACAAUGGGGGCAACCCUGAUCCAGCCAUGCCGCGUGUGUGAAGAAGGCUUUCGGGUUGUAAAGCACUUUCAGUGAGGAGGAAAACCUUCUGGUUAAUACCCAUGAGGCUUGACGUUACUCACAGAAGAAGCACCGGCUAACUCCGUGCCAGCAGCCGCGGUAAUACGGAGGGUGCAAGCGUUAAUCGGAAUUACUGGGCGUAAAGCGCGCGUAGGUGGUUUGAUAAGCGAGAUGUGAAAGCCCCGGGCUUAACCUGGGAACGGCAUUUC
rnacentral:rRNA from 1 species